GGACCGGUUCAACUGAGAUCCGGUACCUAACCGAUCGAUUUUAAUCGAAUCAUCUCAGAUCAAUUGUGUGACCGAUCUAAUAUAAAACUGAUCCAAUUAGGUUAUUGGAUCUCAGUUGAACCGGUCU
rnacentral:pre_miRNA from 1 species